GGAGGAAGCCCCGGCUAACUACGUGCCAGCAGCCGCGGUAAUACGUAGGGGGCUAGCGUUAUCCGGAUUUACUGGGCGUAAAGGGUGCGUAGGCGGGCUUUCAAGUCAGGAGUGAAAGGCUACGGCUCAACCGGAGUAAGCUCUUGAAACUGGGAGACUUGAGUGCAGGAGAGGAGAGUGGAAUUCCUAGUGUAGCGGUGAAA
rnacentral:rRNA from 1 species